GAGGACAACAUCUGAGAAGGACCGUCGA
rnacentral:piRNA from 1 species